UUGUACAGAUUAUCGCAAUUACACAUGCUUAUUUGAUGAAACCAGCAAUUCUUUUAAGGAGAGCUGUUCUAUUAAAUUCGACUUUCAAAGACCAGGCUACAGAGUUACUUUGCGAACUAAUAUUCAUGCCAAGGCUUGCCAAAAUGGUCUUUAUCAGCCUUUCAUUUUCUACACCAACACGUCCAGUAAUUGUGAGUUGCAGCGGUCAUUUUGCAGCGGAGAAGGGCAAAUUGUUUCAAAUAAUGGUUCGAUAAAAACCGACAGACAAUGUCGAUGUAAUUAUGCACAGGGCUAUGUGUUUGUCACCAAACCAAGAAAUAUAUGCUCCUGUAUUCCAUCACUGGAAGAUUGUACCUGUUAUCGCAAAAAGUGUCACAAAAACCUUAUUCUUUCUCCUGAUUACAUAUGUAUUGACCAAUUCAGUUGGUCCGGAAAAUUAAAUUGCUCAUCUAUUUCAGAUUCACGGAUACCUACAAUCACUGUUUCAAAAAAACCCGUUCAUACACAGGAAGAUAAGACAG